AUGGCGUCGGCGACUCCGACAGGCGGCGGCGGCGAUGGCGUCGGCGGCGGCGGUGACCUACCGUUUUGGCCGCCUAACGGCCCGGCUGGCAUCGACGGCGACGGAGACGACGACCCCAGCUCCGCGUACUCGAGCGACGACGAGGAGGAGUCGCUAUUACUCUUCAUGGACCAGCGGUUGCGGUUGGCGCAGCUGUGGGUGGCGAACCCUAGUAGCAGCCAUGAGUUGACGCAUGGACUCGGCGACGUGAUGUAUGUAUCCUUCUCCCCCUUCUCCUGUGAUUUAUCCAAUUGUGGAUUUUUAGGUUUGGAUGAAGACAUUUGGCAAGUAAGGAUCCAUUUUGAUGCAAGAGAACCAUUGAAGAUGAAGCUUUGUAGUUCAGAUAUUACUUAUCUGAAUUUGGUUGCAGUGAUGGAAACCCAAGGAUUUAAUGGAUAUGAUUGUUUGUUUCACAUUGAAAAUCCAUCUUUAGGAGAGAAAGGGCUGGAUUUGGUAGACAGUCAUGCAGAAUUACAGAUGAUAAAGAGGAAGCUCCAGGACAAAUUGGAGAUUAAUUUGCUAGAUCUGAGUGAGGCUCCUGUCUUAGCUGUUGAUCAACAAGGAGUAGUUUUUGAGAGUCAAUGUGGCAGCUCUAGCACACCCCAUCCUCCUGGUGUUUGCACACAAGAAAGCAAGAAUGCAAAUGCCAAGUCGAAUGCUUUUUUGGAAGAAGAAGAAGAGGGAUAUGAGGUAUAUGAGGACAGUGAUGCUUCUGCCUCUGAUGAGGAUGGUCAAAUUGGAAGUGAGCCUAAUUAUAUGUGUGAUGAUGAAGAUGUAGAGGUGGAAGAGGGGAAGAGACAGAGAGAGUUAGAAGUACAAGAGGAAGAAUCAGAUGAUGAGCUAUCAGAGGAGGAACCAGUGCUGCAUUAUGAGGGUGACACUGAAGUUGAAGACCCAUUUGAGGUACAGGAAGAUAGGACUUUUGAAGAAGAAGAAGAAGCAAAUAUAGUUGUACCUGUAAAGAAGCAGAAGCUGCCAGUUAGAAGAGGACCAACUACUAGGUCACAUUGCAAUAAGCUACCAAAGGUUGAGCCUGAUUUCAGACCAUCAUCAGAUGAAGAAGAGAAGGGGUUGUUGAGGGAGAGUGAUGAUGAUGGUUUUGAGCCACUAUCAUUUGUCCUAACAAAGAAAAGGAAGAGUAGGGCAAAGAAAAGGCCUGCUAGGAAGUGGUACAAUGAGAAAAUGGAGCAACCACAUGAACAAAUAUGUCUAAAGUUGUGUUUUAGGGAUCAUCAUCAAUUCAGAGAUGCUUUGUUGAAUUUGCACAUCACUCAGGCCAGGAAUUUCAGGUAUCAUAGGAAUUCAGAUCAGAGGAUAAUUGUUGAGUGUAGAGAUAAACAAUGCCAGUUCUUUAUGGUGGCAGCAGUUAUAAAAGGGGAGAAUACCUUUGUAAUUAAGAAGAUGAGACUAGAGCACACUUGGCCUAGUACUACUGAGACCACAAGGGUUAGUGUUAAGUGGCUAGCACAGAAAUAUGAGCAUCUCUUUAGAUCUGAUAUAACUAUAGGUAUUCAGACUAUAAUUGAUGCAUGCAUGGAAAAAUACGGUGUAGAUUUUCCCAAGUGCAUGGCAUAUAGGGCAAAGAACAUGGCUAUUGAUGCUGUGUUAGGAGAUCACAAGAAACAAUAUCCUAGGCUUAAAGACUAUGCUCAGACUUUCAUGGACACAAACCCUGGGAGCAGAGUAAUAGUCACUACUGUUACUCCGGUACCAACUGCAAGAAUACCCCACCCAGGCCCAAGAUUCCAUGCCAUGUUCUUUUGCAUGAAUGGAGCAAGGGAGGGGUUUCUCAAUGGGUGUAGGCCAUUCAUUGGUGUUGAUGGGUACUUCAUUAAGCUCACUACAGGUGCUCAACUCCUUGCUGCCACUGGUAGAGAUGGCAACAACAACAUAUAUCCACUGGCAUUUGGCAUAGUUGGACAAGAGGACAAAGCUAGUUGGUGUUGGUUUCCACACCAACUGAAAAUUUGCCUAGGGGGAGAAGUGGGCAAGUUUGGACCUUAUACUAUAAUGUCAGAUAGACAAAAGGGGUUACUGUAUGCAGUGAAUGCUAUGUUUCCAAAUUGCAACCAAAGGUUCUGCCUUAGACAUAUAUAUGCAAAUUUCCAAAAUGCUGGGUUUAGGGGUGAAGAUCUUAACAAGUGCAUGGAUAAUGCUAGCUAUGCCUACAAUGAACACAAAUUUAAUAUUGCAAUGAAUGAUCUUAGAGCUGAAAUGAACAACUUGUCUGAGGUGUUCAACAAGUACAUUCUAGAUAUUAGGAGAAAACCUAUAAGGACAAUGUGUGAUGGGAUAAAAGAUAAGCAGAUGGUGAUGUGGCACAGGAAUAGAGAGAGUGGAAAGGCAGCAAGAUGGGAGAUAACACCUCAUUACAGUGAGAAGCUAGAGGUUGAGAAGGAGAGGGCAAGAUACUGCAAGCCAAUACAGGCAGAGGUCAACUUAUGGCAAGUUACAAGUGGGCAGCAGACACAUGCUGUCAACCUGGAACUUGAGACUUGUGGAUGCAGGAAGUGGGACCUUAGUGGCAUACCUUGCAACCAUGCCAUCUCUGCAAUAAACAAGGCUAAAAGGAAACCAGAGGAUUAUGUCAGUAAAUUCUUCAAGAAAGAUUUUUAUGUUGCGGCUUAUGAACCAAUGAUAUUUCCUGUGCCUGGUGAGCAUGAUUGGGCUACUCCAAGUAACUCACAGCCAAGAGCUGCUGGCCCUUCUACUACACCACCAACAGCAAGACAGGCAAGAGCUGCUGCUUCUGCUCCUACACCACCAUCAUCUGGAAGAAGACAAGCUGGCAGAGGAAGAUCUGCUGCAAUUACCACACCACCACCAUCUGGAAGAGGAGCUGGCAGAGGAAGAGUUGACACUGGAGCUGGAAGAGUCUGGAGGCUUAAAGGUGCAACUGUUGCUGGAUCUGAAGAACAUUUUCCAAUGCUAUCUUCCAGUGAAGAUGAUGGCACAAGGGAGGCCAUGGUUCUGUCUCUGCAAGCUCAAGUCAGAGAGAAGAAUGCAGAGAUUGCUGGGAUUAGGGCCAAAUUUCACAAUGUGCUCUUUAUUUUCACUAUAUUUGUGCUUGGCUUAGUUGCAGGCAAGAUCUUAAGUUAACUGCAGAUGUCUGAAAUCCACCACCCUAUCCUCCUGGAAGUUCAUAAGCUAAUGCACAUCUUGGACUAG
rnacentral:rRNA from 1 species